rnacentral:rRNA from 1 species
UACGUAGGGGGCAAGCGUUGUCCGGAUUUAUUGGGCGUAAAGAGCGUGUAGGCGGCCCGGAAGGUCAGCUGUGAAAACUCGAGGCUCAACCUCGAGACGUCGGUUGAAACCACCAGGCUAGAGUCCGGAAGAGGAGUGUGGAAUUCCCGGUGUAGCGGUGAAAUGCGCAGAUAUCGGGAAGAACACCCGUGGCGAAGGCGGCACUCUGGGACGGUACUGACGCUGAGACGCGAAAGCGUGGGGAGCGAACAGG